rfam:Candidatus Rokubacteria bacterium GWA2_70_23 gwa2_scaffold_3175, whole genome shotgun sequence.
CAGCGGGAGGCAGACCCGCCGGGGGAAAAGCCAACCCCCCGUAACUCGGGUGGCAGGGUGGAGAGAGAUCAAGACCCUGAAGCCCACCGACAAAGCCAUCAAAAGGACUGGCGGUUUUGGGGCCUGUACGUUCACGUGA